rnacentral:rRNA from 1 species
UUAAGUUAUUAAGGGCGCACGGUGGAUGCCUUGGCACUAGAAGCCGAUGAAGGACGUUACUAACGACGAUAUGCUUUGGGGAGCUGUAAGUAAGCUUUGAUCCAGAGAUUUCCGAAUGGGGAAACCCAGCAUGAGUUAUGUCAUGUUAUCGAUAUGUGAAUACAUAGCAUAUCAGAAGGCACACCCGGAGAACUGAAACAUCUUAGUACCCGGAGGAAGAGAAAGAAAAUUCGAUUCCCUUAGUAGCGGCGAGCGAAACGGGAAGAGCCCAAACCAAAAAGCUUGCUUGUUGGGGUUGUAGGACACUCUAUACGGAGUUACAAAGGACGACAUUAGACGAAUCAUCUGGAAAGAUGAAUCAAAGAAGGUAAUAAUCCUGUAGUCGAAAAUGUUGUCUCUCUUGAGUGGAUCCUGAGUACGACGGAGCACGUGAAAUUCCGUCGGAAUCUGGGAGGACCAUCUCCUAAGGCUAAAUACUCUCUAGUGACCGAUAGUGAACCAGUACCGUGAGGGAAAGGUGAAAAGCACCCCGGAAGGAGAGUGAAAUAGAACCUGAAACCGUGUGCUUACAAGUAGUCAGAGCCCGUUAAUGGGUGAUGGCGUGCCUUUUGUAGAAUGAACCGGCGAGUUACGAUUUGAUGCAAGGUUAAGCAGUAAAUGUGGAGCCGUAGCGAAAGCGAGUCUGAAUAGGGCGUUUAGUAUUUGGUCGUAGACCCGAAACCAGGUGAUCUACCCUUGGUCAGGUUGAAGUUCAGGUAACACUGAAUGGAGGACCGAACCGACUUACGUUGAAAAGUGAGCGGAUGAACUGAGGGUAGCGGAGAAAUUCCAAUCGAACCUGGAGAUAGCUGGUUCUCUCCGAAAUAGCUUUAGGGCUAGCCUCAAGUGAUGAUUAUUGGAGGUAGAGCACUGUUUGGACGAGGGGCCCCUCUCGGGUUACCGAAUUCAGACAAACUCCGAAUGCCAAUUAAUUUAACUUGGGAGUCAGAACAUGGGUGAUAAGGUCCGUGUUCGAAAGGGAAACAGCCCAGACCACCAGCUAAGGUCCCAAAAUAUAUGUUAAGUGGAAAAGGAUGUGGCGUUGCCCAGACAACUAGGAUGUUGGCUUAGAAGCAGCCAUCAUUUAAAGAGUGCGUAAUAGCUCACUAGUCGAGUGACACUGCGCCGAAAAUGUACCGGGGCUAAACAUAUUACCGAAGCUGUGGAUUGUCCUUUGGACAAUGGUAGGAGAGCGUUCUAAGGGCGUUGAAGCAUGAUCGUAAGGACAUGUGGAGCGCUUAGAAGUGAGAAUGCCGGUGUGAGUAGCGAAAGACGGGUGAGAAUCCCGUCCACCGAUUGACUAAGGUUUCCAGAGGAAGGCUCGUCCGCUCUGGGUUAGUCGGGUCCUAAGCUGAGGCCGACAGGCGUAGGCGAUGGAUAACAGGUUGAUAUUCCUGUACCACCUAUAAUCGUUUUAAUCGAUGGGGGGACGCAGUAGGAUAGGCGAAGCGUGCGAUUGGAUUGCACGUCUAAGCAGUAAGGCUGAGUAUUAGGCAAAUCCGGUACUCGUUAAGGCUGAGCUGUGAUGGGGAGAAGACAUUGAGUCUUCGAGUCGUUGAUUUCACACUGCCGAGAAAAGCCUCUAGAUAGAAAAUAGGUGCCCGUACCGCAAACCGACACAGGUAGUCAAGAUGAGAAUUCUAAGGUGAGCGAGCGAACUCUCGUUAAGGAACUCGGCAAAAUGACCCCGUAACUUCGGGAGAAGGGGUGCUCUUUAGGGUUAACGCCCAGAAGAGCCGCAGUGAAUAGGCCCAAGCGACUGUUUAUCAAAAACACAGGUCUCUGCUAAACCGUAAGGUGAUGUAUAGGGGCUGACGCCUGCCCGGUGCUGGAAGGUUAAGAGGAGUGGUUAGCUUCUGCGAAGCUACGAAUCGAAGCCCCAGUAAACGGCGGCCGUAACUAUAACGGUCCUAAGGUAGCGAAAUUCCUUGUCGGGUAAGUUCCGACCCGCACGAAAGGCGUAACGAUUUGGGCACUGUCUCAACGAGAGACUCGGUGAAAUCAUAGUACCUGUGAAGAUGCAGGUUACCCGCGACAGGACGGAAAGACCCCGUGGAGCUUUACUGUAGCCUGAUAUUGAAAUUCGGCACAGCUUGUACAGGAUAGGUAGGAGCCUUUGAAACGUGAGCGCUAGCUUACGUGGAGGCGCUGGUGGGAUACUACCCUAGCUGUGUUGGCUUUCUAACCCGCACCAGUUAUCGUGGUGGGAGACAGUGUCAGGCGGGCAGUUUGACUGGGGCGGUCGCCUCCUAAAAGGUAACGGAGGCGCUCAAAGGUUCCCUCAGAAUGGUUGGAAAUCAUUCAUAGAGUGUAAAGGCAUAAGGGAGCUUGACUGCGAGACCUACAAGUCGAGCAGGGUCGAAAGACGGACUUAGUGAUCCGGUGGUUCCGCAUGGAAGGGCCAUCGCUCAACGGAUAAAAGCUACCCCGGGGAUAACAGGCUUAUCUCCCCCAAGAGUUCACAUCGACGGGGAGGUUUGGCACCUCGAUGUCGGCUCAUCGCAUCCUGGGGCUGUAGUCGGUCCCAAGGGUUGGGCUGUUCGCCCAUUAAAGCGGUACGCGAGCUGGGUUCAGAACGUCGUGAGACAGUUCGGUCCCUAUCCGUCGUGGGCGUAGGAAAUUUGAGAGGAGCUGUCCUUAGUACGAGAGGACCGGGAUGGACAUACCUCUGGUGUACCAGUUGUCGUGCCAACGGCAUAGCUGGGUAGCUAUGUGUGGACGGGAUAAGUGCUGAAAGCAUCUAAGCAUGAAGCCCCCCUCAAGAUGAGAUUUCCCAACUUCGGUUAUAAGAUCCCUCAAAGAUGAUGAGGUUAAUAGGUUCGAGGUGGAAGCAUGGUGACAUGUGGAGCUGACGAAUACUAAUCGAUCGAAGACUUAAUCAA